rnacentral:tRNA from 1 species
UGUAUUUAGGUGUUUAGCAUAUGAAAAUUUGACUUUCUUGGAUCUUUUUAACUAGAGAAAAUACAG